rnacentral:rRNA from 1 species
UGCCAGCCGCCGCGGUAAUACGGAGGGUGCAAGCGUUAAUCGGAAUUACUGGGCGUAAAGCGUACGUAGGCGGUUUGAUAAGUCGGAUGUGAAAGCCCUGGGCUCAACCUGGGACGUGCAUUCGAUACUGUCAGACUAGAGUCUGGAAGAGGUUGGCGGAAUUCCCGGUGUAGCGGUGAAAUGCGUAGAUAUCGGGAGGAACAUCAGUGGCGAAGGCGGCUGACUGGUUCAAGACUGACGCUGAGGUACGAAAGCGUGGGGAGCAAACAGGAUUAGAUA